AAAAAGAAAAUGUAUUGUUUAUGCAACAUGGUUGUUGGUAAUCUGCUCAACAUAUUCAGAACCAACUGUAGCUUACUUUACCCUGACAAAAUUCCCAAGAAAAUAUAAAAUAAUUAAAAAUAAUAUAUUUUGUGCAUUAUAUUGACAAUAUAUAUUCACAUAUAGUGAAAAUUCAUAACAAUGGAAAUUACAACAUAUGUGAAUAUACACAUUACAAAAUCAAAAAAAAAAAACCAAGAAAAUACAAGUGUUUCAAUAUCUACUUAACCCAUUAAUUAUUAUCAAAAACUCAAAAGAUAACUCCAAAAGGCAAACUUGAAAACAGUAAUUAUCCAUAGGAACACACGUUUGCAGUGUUUUGAAGAUGCAUUUCUUUAAUUCUUAUCCAUUUCUUAUGGUAGGCCAGCACCGACCCAUGUAGAAAAAAAUAAAAAAAAAGGAAAGUUUCCAUGUUGGAUCACCAACUGCAACAUUAACUAACCAACCGUCAUUCAACAGUCAAACUUUACGUUUAUCUUCGAAUCCAAGGAAGGAUUUGGAGAGAUUUUUUAAUUAUUAUCAAAUGACAUGAUAAUGCAUGGACCCCAUGCGUUCUAUUCCUUAGAUUUGCUAAAUGUGGGGAGUGAGUUUACGAAAUUAGAGAAAAGAAAUUGCGGAUAGACAUCUGCGACGGUCAUGCAGCGAUGCAAGUUACUGGAGUCAGUCCCCAAUCAGUAAUAUAUCUAGCUGUGACACAGAAAUAGUAAGAACGACCGCCGGAGAUGUUUUUAAAAAAUAACUCUCCCAUUAUCAAGUUAGAUGACCGAAAAGUGUCUGUAAAGAGAGAGAGAGUGUGUGUAUAUUUCUUAGCCCAAAAUUUGCGUACCUUUUAGAGAGAUAAAAGCUGAAUUUAUAUGACACAGCUCGGCGCGUUCCUUGACGCGCUAGAUAUCUUGUUACUGAACAGACUAUAGCUUGGCGCGUGUUCGUACGUGUCGACCACUAUAUCAGUGAGUAGGCGGCUGAUCUAGCCACGCUCUUAGGGCAUGCUGUCGAGGUCUUUUUUCGGGCACGGAGUCCGUCAGAAAAAGUUUCUCCGUGCAAGUUACCUUCUGUCUCCUAACAUGCUUUGGGAUUACCGCCGACCGCUGCGCCUCGUCCAAACUCCGGCGUGAUUACUCCAUUGACAUUACUAAAUAGCGAUAGCUCGAGAGUAAUAGUGGCCUUAGCUCGAACAGUGCCUGUGUUCGGUGGUGUCUCAAUCGAGUUUCGGCGUAGGGGCCUUCGAACUUACUUUAUAGUGAUAGCUCAGUGACAGUGCCCGCCCUAGCAAUGUCAGAAUCCAUAAUUGUAUAAUUAAUCCCCUUACAAUUGUUCCUCAAUUCGCAUGAAUUAGGUCAAUAUUUACCGAUGUGAUGUGAACUGGACGUGCUCUUCCUUCGAGUUUUAGCUUGUCGAGUACGCUGAUGCCUGCUAGUUGUUUUUCCCCUGUCUGAGUUUGUUAUUUCAUUGUACAGUUUGAGCCAUGCAUUGGGACCCCCCCACCCCCCCAUGAUAGUAUGCAUUGCUUGCAUUGGUGCACUAUGCCGAAGGUCCCCGCCUGCCCUUUGGAUCGUUAGUAAGGACGCACGACAGGAUAACUACCACGUGCUCGCCUAUUGUUGGUUUGGUAGAGGUUGACCGGUGUGAAUAAAUGCACACAUUAGGACACAUUUGGACAUCCUUCCCGCCUCUUCACCUUCCUUAUAGGGAUCCAUUUGUAUUCCUCCCGUCAUUGCUGUUCACAAACCCCUGAGAGCGUUCUAAAGGGAGAAAGUGCUCCCCCUCCAUCUAUUGUUGCCGUUCGAUUGUUCGUCCGACCACCGUUUUGAUUUUCGGCUACUAAUCUCCAACUGAUCCCCGACCACAGUUCCGAUUUCUUGAUUUUACUUUGGUACGUUUUCGACGUUUAUUUCCUCCCUACAGUUCCUAUGCAUUUUUUUGCAACUCUUCUGCUUUUUAUGUUUCGUGCGAUUUCUGUCUUCGUUUGUGUUUGCCUUUUUUUGGCGUUUCUAUUGAGUUCCUACCUUGGCUUGUCUACCAUUGUUGGAGCUCUGAUCUUUUUUAAGUUUCUGUAACCUGGGUUGUCCUUGACCCGUUUUCCCUGAUAAAACUGGUUCAGGCUGCCCUACGGUAUCAUUGGCCUUAGGAUUUUGUCUUCCAAGCCCUUCUGUGAACGAGAUAGGUCAAACAGGAGGAUGUCUUUUUUUUAUGAUAGUUGUUCCUUUAGAAUAUAGUAAGUACUUUAAAGGUCACGAGCCGAGUCUUGAAAACUCGUCAUAACUGUCUAGCUGAGCUCGUUCUAACUGUCUUGGUUCUGUUUUCAAAACAUGAAGUUGAACCGAACUCAGGUCUAUGACGACGACGCUUUAAAGAAAUUUAGGACUGACCACCGCAUCCCCAAGGAUGUUCAGAUAGAGAGUCUCAGGCAGAACGAGGAUGCAAAUAUAGUUGAGGGCCACGGGGACAACAUCUCAGUUCG
rnacentral:lncRNA from 1 species